UCCCUGGUGGUCCAGUGGUUAAGACUCUGUUCUUUCACUGCAUGGGGCACAGGUUCACUUCCUGAUUUGGGAA
rnacentral:tRNA from 1 species